AUCAUUUGUCUCAAAACUACUAGAUAUUUACUCCUAUUUAAAACAAAUGUUCUCAUUGUAGCUUCACAGCCUUCACUAAAAUUUGAAAGAAGGCCUACGAGUUCUUUACGAAAAAAAAAAAAAAAGGAAGCCGGUUCUUUGGCCUCCAGCCAUAUACUCUCUUAUGUAACUCUGUUGUCGAGAAAACAGUUUCAACACAUUGACAAUUCACAAAACCAGAGCUUUUCAACAAAUAUGGAGUUUAAGAAGUUUUUCGUUCUACGCUAUGCUCGAUAUAAGAAGUUUUUUGCUUUGCGUUAUCAAAGAGAGGGGACCAUGAAGGCAGAACCAGCAACAUUUUCAUCAUUUCAAAUAAUCAUCUUUGUUCACAUAAGUUUAUGGAAAUUUGAAGCGAGAGUUAAUGUAUGUAGUAUGUUAAUUCAACUUAACUUUUUAAAAAAUUAUAUUUAAAUGAUUUUC